rnacentral:rRNA from 1 species
GACGAACGCUGGCGGCGUGCUUAACACAUGCAAGUCGAGCGGUAAGGCCCUUUCGGGGGUACACGAGCGGCGAACGGGUGAGUAACACGUGGGUGACCUGCCCUCAGCUCUGGGAUAAGCCUGGGAAACUGGGUCUAAUACCGGAUAUGACUCCAUGACGCAUGUUGUGGGGUGGAAAGCCUUGUGCGGCUGAGGAUGGGCCCGCGGCCUAUCAGCUUGUUGGUGGGGUGANGGCCUACCAAGGCGACGACGGGUGGCCGGCCUGAGAGGGCGACCGGCCACACUGGGACUGAGACACGGCCCAGACUCCUACGGGAGGCAGCAGUGGGGAAUCUUGCGCAAUGGGCGAAAGCCUGACGCAGCGACGCCGCGUGAGGGAUGACGGCCUCGG